rnacentral:rRNA from 1 species
GAUUAUGGCUCAGGAUGAACGCUAGCUACAGGCUUAACACAUGCAAGUCGAGGGGCAGCAGGACGAUAGCUUGCUAUGUUGCUGGCGACCGGCGCACGGGUGAGUAACGCGUAUCCAACCUUCCCUUAGUAGGGCAUAGCCCGUAGAAAUGACGGAUUAAUACCCUAUGUUGUUCGAUGCGGACAUCUAAGUGAACCAAGGUUUACCGCUAAGGGAUGGGGAUGCGUCUGAUUAGGCAGGCAGGCGGGGUAACGGCCCACCUGGCCUACGAUCAGUAGGGGUCUGAGAGGAAGGUCCCCCACAUUGGAACUGAGACACGGUCCAAACUCCUACGGGAGGCAGCAGUGAGGAAUAUUGGUCAAUGGGCGCGAGCCUGAACCAGCCAAGUAGCGUGCCAGGACGACGGCCCUAUGGGUUGUAAACUGCUUUUAUGCGGGGAUAAAGUGCGGCACGUGUGCCGUUUUGUAGGUACCGCAUGAAUAAGGACCGGCUAAUUCCGUGCCAGCCGCAGC